GCAGACACAUUCCAGCCAAUCAGCAGCAGACCCUCCCUCCCAGACCUUCCCACCUCCUGGACAGCAUCCAUUGUGAAGCUGCAUUCUUAGUGAGCUGUCCAGGAGGUGGGAGAGUCUGGGAGGGAGUGUCUGCUGCUGAUUGGCUGGAAUGUGUCUG